rnacentral:rRNA from 1 species
AAUAUUGGACAAUGGGGGCAACCCUGAUCCAGCCAUGCCGCGUGUGUGAAGAAGGUCUUCGGCUUGUAAAGCACUUUAAGUUGGGAGGAAGGGCUUUAGGUUAAUACCCUGAAGUUUUGACGUUACCAACAGAAUAAGCACCGUCUAACUCUGUGCCAGCAGCCGCGGUAAUACAGAGGGUGCAAUUGUUAAUCUGAAUUACUGGGCGUACAGCGCGCGUAGGUUGUUCAGUAAGAUGGGUGUUAAACCCCCGGGCUUAACCUGGGAACUGCUUUUAUAGCUGCUGAGCUAGAGUACGGUAGAGGGUAGUGGAAUUUCCUGUGUAGCGGUGAAAUGCGUAGAUAUAGGAAGGAACACCAGUGGCGAAGGCGACUACCUGGACUGAUACUGACACUGAGGUGCGAAAGCGUGGGGAGCAAAC